rnacentral:rRNA from 1 species
CAGCAGCCACGGGAAUACGUAGGUGGCAAGCGUUGUCCGGAAUUAUUGGGCGUAAAGGGCUCGCAGGCGGUUUCUUAAGUCUGAUGUGAAAGCCCCCGGCUCAACCGGGGAGGGUCAUUGGAAACUGGGAAACUUGAGUGCAGAAGAGGAGAGAGGAAUUCCACGUGUAGCGGUGAAAUGCGUAGAGAUGUGGAGGAACACCAGUGGCGAAGGCGACUCUCUGGUCUGUAACUGACGCUGAGGAGCGAAAGCGUGGGGAGCGAACAGGAUUAGAUACCCCCGUAGUCCCUGUCUCUUUACA